CGGUGAUGGAACUGGAUGGCUACUGGGGACUCUUCCAAGUCAGAUGCUGAGAUUCUAAGGGUUAUUCUGUUCAUAUAUAUUCUACAAGGAGUCAUGGUCAAGAUUUCAGCAAGAAGCAAUAUUAUCGUCACUCCCUGACAAACCAUUCCAUAAUUGUAUCAUACCCAGUACUGGAAGACACAGAAAUAAGGAAGACCCUCUCCUCAGAGAGGUCUACUGGGGCAAGGAGGAGAUAAGAUAAGGAGAACAAACAACUAUUGCCAUCAGAAAUGAAGGAGAUAGUUGCAGAGAAAACUGGGAAGAUUUGUAUGAAUUGAUGCAAAAUGAAUCUUGUUUUAAUAGAUGGAGCCAUACCACUCAUCAAUUUUCAAACCAAGUACUGAAAACUUUCCCAAAUACCAAGAUAUAACAGAAGAAGCCAAAGUCAUGUGGGAACAAGAUGAACUGGACAUCAGCCCUUUCAAACUCUCUGCUAACUGUCCCAAGGACACUUUUGAAAAGGGGCAAUGCCACUUAUACUGCCAGCCUAGUAGAAGUUGGAGAAGCACUCAGCAGGGACAUUGUAGGUAGGAUUUUUUUAAAUUUUGGUUUGGAUUGGACUUGGUGAUUGGGAAGGUCUGGCAUAAGAUUCAAAUGAUCUAAUAGAUGAAAUAGUGUUUAUAAUCCUAAAGUCCCAUGCAGAAGUGGGAAAUGGAGAAUUCAGGAUUAGAACAUAGACAUUCUAGAAGUACUUCCUGAUAGAAAAGUAAAUUUUUAUACUGGAAGUUCCUGGACUUUGAACUGGAAGAGACUUUAGAAGUCAUUUAACUCAAUCCCCUUAUCUUACAGGGAAAGAAGCAGCUCCGGAGAAGGAAAGGACUUAUUCAAGGUUACAUAGCUAAUAAAUGACCAAGCUUGAGCCCA
rnacentral:lncRNA from 1 species